rnacentral:lncRNA from 1 species
AACGACAGUCAACCAGCAUUACAUAGAAAAUAUCAGUCCAAAGUUAACACGACAGUCAACCAACAUUACAUAAAAAAUAUCAGUCCAAAGUUAAAUCGACAGUCAACCAACAUUACAUAGAAAAUAUCAGACAACACAAUCGCCCAAACCAAAACCGACAGCCCAAAGCAUUAAAAAUAACAUGAGAAUAUCAGACAACAAUAUGCCAAACGCAAAAACGACAGCCAAAGCACAACAGAUUUAAAUAGGAAAUUUGAGAAAACGAACACCAUUAAACUCCAAGCA